AUUCGUUUAAAAAAAAGUAAAUUAACCCUAAAUUCGAUCUUUUCUGCUCCCAAUCUAUUUCUCUUUUUCCCUCCCCUGCGCGUCUGUUCAAUAGAUUGCUUAUCAUAUGUUUCCAGAAAACUAUCCCCUCUCUAAACCCUCAGCAUCCACUUCUUCAACUAUCAAUAAUGUCCGCCGUCAGGUUCACUUUCAGAUUUAACGCCGCCGUUUGUGGCGCAUCGUCGAGACUCUAUAGAGGUGUCAAGGCGAAGCCGUCCGGUACCUCCUUCGGCAUCCCGACAAAGAAACCUAUAUCUCCUUGAGUUUUGAGACCUCCUAAGUUGUGGACCGCGUGCUGUUGGUGGAGCUAAGUUGAUCGUUUAAAGUUAUUGAAAAUGGAGUUUCCAAAGAUUUGCACUUCGCCUCUCCACAAGAUGAUGCAAAAGCAACCAAGAAUGGGCAGAUGGAAAUCAGUGACAAUAUUAAUGGAGAUGUGAGUUCUGUUGAAGAUUCUGACAAAGAUGUUUCGAAUGAUGUGAAAUUGGAUGAAGGGGGAAAGGAAUAUAUGUUUGUCGAUUGCCCAGAUGAGUUGGUUAUUCCCGAUCAUAAAGAACCUUUUGAUGCAUUUGAAAACCAAGACGAGUUAGAGGAAAAUGAUUACGAUAAAGAGGUACAUCCUGAGGAAUCAAAUAGUGGGGGACCAGUUACAGAUGAUCUAGUAUCUCCAUCGUAUCCAUGCUUCCUUUUCACACAGCCACUGCUUCUUCGUUGCUCACUUCAAUGCUCUUUGAUUCUCCUCGAUGGACACCGGAAGAUUCAUAACACGUUUUGUGAUUGCAAACAAAAGCACGGUUCCCAAUCGCGAGACAACAUCGCCAAUCCUCAAAGUUCAAGGCUAGAUUCGAGGCUCAAAAUCAGUUUUAAUUUUUUUUUUUGAAAUCCUGGUUUCGAUAUUGUUUAUUAUUGUUAUUCAUGUUCUAAGAUUUUGUAUUUGGGCAUUACAGGAAGAAAAGUCUGCAUUUGAGGAGAUAGAAAAAUAGGGAGAAGAUGAGGUUUGAUUAAUAACUAGUUUUUGCAGUUAUGUCAGUAAUCUUUUAUAGUUAUCCUCUUUGUAUUGUGGGAUGCCUUAAAAGAGAAGUUAAAAUUAGAAGGGGUGAACUUAGGAUGAAGAAACCAUGCUUAUUGUUUUAAAUGUCUUUUAAGAGUCAUAUUUCUCUGCCUUCUCUUCCACAUGAUUCAAAAGAGGAUUCAGUUGAUUCAGAUGUAAGAACUCAGCAUAAAUGUCAUAAUUUUAUUAUUUCAGAAUCUAUUUGUGUGUGCUAUUCCACUACUGAAUGAGUGAUAAAUAUAUUUCAGGAUGAGUCUGAAAACAAUCGUAAUGAUAAUAUUUCAGGAUGAUUCUGAUGUGGAAUUCAUUUUGCAUGCUCUCAACUAGCAUAAAUUAGUUGCAGUUCUGGAUGGAGGAAAAAGAAUGUUAGGUGAUAUAUCUCCUAAUACCUUAGCUUGCUGUGAAGAAAUUGUUGCAGCUAUAAUUUUUACCCUCUUGGCUGGAUAUUUGAUGGCUUACAUUGAUUAUGGCGGUCCUCUUAGAGGAUUUGAUUCAGUUAGUGAAGACACGAUAAUGUUGGAGAAGAAGUUCUAGGCCAUGUCUGAGUUGAUGGAGCAAAUUUUCAUUAAUUCAUUAUCAUCUUCAUCGAGUGAAUCCUUUUUAAUUUAUUGUACAUACUAUUGGCAAGAAUUUAAGUAUGGAAUUAAUAGAUUUUUUCAAUUAUGUUGAAGGAUGAUGUAUGUUAAAAUGUAUGUAUA